rnacentral:rRNA from 1 species
AGCGAACGCUGGCGGCAGGCCUAACACAUGCAAGUCGAGCGCCCCGCAAGGGGAGCGGCAGACGGGAGAGUAACACGUGGGAACGUACCCUUCGGUUCGGAACAACCCAGGGAAACUUGGGCUAAUACCGGAUACGUCCGAAAGGAGAAAGAUUUAUCGCCGAAGGAUCGGCCCGCGUCUGAUUAGCUAGUUGGUGGGGUAACGGCCCACCAAGGCGACGAUCAGUAGCUGGUCUGAGAGGAUGAUCAGCCUCACUGGGACUGAGACACGGCCCAGACUACUACGGGAGGCAGCAGUAGGGAAUAUUGGACAAUGGGCGCAAGCCUGAUCCAGCCAUGCCGCGUGGGUGAUGAAGGCCCUAGGGUUGUAAAGCCCUUUCGGCGGGGAAGAUAAUGACGGUACCCGCAGAAGAAGCCCCGGCUAACUUCGUGCCAGCAGCCGCCGUAAUAC